GAGGAGGACACUCCUCUCCAGGAAAUUGAAAUAAUUUACUUCAUGCCUCUUGGAGAUAUAAUUAUGCAUUCAACCUUUGGUUUACUUCAUGCCUCUGGGUGUGUUUUUUUUCUUUCAUCUGGAUUCAAAUGGUUUAUAAUCUGAAAGAGUGUCGUCUUUCAAUCGCAAUCUGAAUUCUGCAAAGUUUCAAUCGAGCAUUUUUGGUACUGUUGUUCCUGGCAAGCCAUCUUCCUUACAGGAGGAAUUUAAGGAUGAGGAGAUGGUUGAUGUGAAGUCAUUACACAUCCGAAACUUUCUCUGAAGUUGAGUUUGUUGGUUAGUGUUUUGCUUUGCAUUUAACAAUUGUUAGGAUACUCAUAUCCAACAAUUGUUUCUCUAUCUUCUUUGAUUGAAAUUCAUUGAUUACCUAGGGACCUGUCUUAAAAAGAAAUGUAAUCCUAGAUUUAAUAGUAAACCACUUGAUUAUCUUUUCGUCUAUUGUUAUUGGUCGGUUUCGGACAAAAGAAAUUUAAAAACUAUGCCAAUAUACUGUAAGAAUGUGAUGGAUUGCAGCCCUCUAAAUCUCCAUUAUCAAAUUUUCACAAAA